rnacentral:tRNA from 1 species
AGGGUCGUAGUUAAAUAUAACAUUUGAUUUGCACUCAAAAAGUACUAAAUAAUUAGUCUUCCUUA